rnacentral:rRNA from 1 species
UACGUAGGCAGUAAGCGUUGUUCGGAGUUACUGGGCGUAAAGGGUGCGUAGGCGGCUUUUUAAGUUUGGUGUGAAAUCUCCCGGCUCAACUGGGAGGGUGCGCCGAAUACUGAGAGGCUAGAGUGUGGGAGAGGAAAGUGGAAUUCCUGGUGUAGCGGUGAAAUGCGUAGAUAUCAGGAGGAACACCGGUGGUGUAAACGGCUUUCUGGACCAUAACUGACGCUGAGGCACGAAAGCGUGGGUAGCAAACAGG